rnacentral:rRNA from 1 species
CUUGCUACUUUGCUGACGAGCGGCGGACGGGUGAGUAAUGCUUGGGAACAUGCCUUGAGGUGGGGGACAACAGUUGGAAACGACUGCUAAUACCGCAUAAUGUCUACGGACCAAAGGGGGCUUCGGCUCUCGCCUUUAGAUUGGCCCAAGUGGGAUUAGCUAGUUGGUGAGGUAAUGGCUCACCAAGGCGACGAUCCCUAGCUGGUUUGAGAGGAUGAUCAGCCACACUGGGACUGAGACACGGCCCAGACUCCUACGGGAGGCAGCAGUGGGGAAUAUUGCACAAUGGGCGCAAGCCUGAUGCAGCCAUGCCGCGUGUGUGAAGAAGGCCUUCGGGUUGUAAAGCACUUUCAGUCAGGAGGAAAGGUUAGUGGUUAAUACCCGUUAGGUGUGACGUUACUGACAGAAGAAGCACCGGCUAACUCCGUGCCAGCAGCCGCGGUAAUACGGAGGGUGCGAGCGUUAAUCGGAAUUACUGGGCGUAAAGCGUACGCAGGCGGUUUGUUAAGCGAGAUGUGAAAGCCCCGGGCUCAACCUGGGAACUGCAUUUCGAACUGGCAAACUAGAGUGUGAUAGAGGGUGGUAGAAUUUCAGGUGUAGCGGUGAAAUGCGUAGAGAUCUGAAGGAAUACCGAUGGCGAAGGCAGCCACCUGGGUCAACACUGACGCUCAUGUACGAAAGCGUGGGGAGCAAACGGGAUUAGAUACCCCGGUAGUCCACGCCGUAAACGAUGUCUACUAGAAGCUCGGAGCCUCGGUUCUGUUUUUCAAAGCUAACGCAUUAAGUAGACCGCCUGGGGAGUACGGCCGCAAGGUUAAAACUCAAAUGAAUUGACGGGGGCCCGCACAAGCGGUGGAGCAUGUGGUUUAAUUCGAUGCAACGCGAAGAACCUUACCUACACUUGACAUACAGAGAACUUACCAGAGAUGGUUUGGUGCCUUCGGGAACUCUGAUACAGGUG